AUGCAUGGGAAACCCAGGUCUGCGGAAGCCGGCCUCUUGCCAAACUCUCUCUCAGUGGGGUCUGCCUCAGUUUCCCACAUCCUCCUCCUCCAAGCUUCCACCCCCUCAGCCUCUGCCGACCGUGCCUGGCCCAGGGCCCCUGGGCCUUUUUGGGCCCUGGCCCGGACGCACACCUGCCUGGAGGCCUCUCUCGCAGCCCAGGAUGCCUGGCUUCCCGGUCAGCACCACACAGCCUCAUGGAUCACGCGGCUGCCGGCGAGGCUUCGGGACGUGGACACUUUGUACCUCCACCCCCCGGACUUGUGCAAGUAUGCUGGACAAGACCAUUUCCUACGAGCGGGAACGCUGGGUCAAAGGUUACGUAAUCUCAGACAGAUGUUACCAAGACGCGCUCCAAAACCUGCGCUGACGCACGCCCCGGGGGCGGCGGGGGAACCGUGCUCCCACGUGCUGCGGGUGACGUCCCUGUCUCUGCUCCGGUUCUGCCAGCGCCUGGUGGGCCUGUGGGAGAGGGCUCGGGACUGCACACCCUCGCUGUACCGGCUCAUAGACACACACUAUUUUUGGCCCGUCUGCGGGUGCUGGGAUGCCCCCCGCUGGCGCCCCGAAACUCCCACUCCCUCUUCCCAACAGCUGUCAAGCCGGUUGCUUGGGGACCCGCACAGGUCCACGGUGGCCUCUGGGAGACCUGCCCUCCCAGACUCCCUGCCCCCGCGCCCAGUCUCCCGGCCACAGGCGCUGUCGCCCCCCUCCCCGGCCCCUCCAGACAACCUGUGGCCUCUGCCUUGCCGGAGACCCAAGUCCUCCCCUUCCUUCUGGUCCUUCUGCCACCCAGCCCAGACAGCACCUGCCAGGUGCGCUCAAACAGCACCCCCACGAGGGCCUCUGGUCCCCUCAGGCUCAACCUCCCACACCCCCCAGGGGCCCGGGGAAGACACCCUCCCUGGAAUUUCUCCUGCUGCGCUGAGUGCCUGGUGGCCUGGGGAAGGCCUGUCCCCGUGGGGCCCGAGUUCCGGGGGCCCAGCAGGCCAAUGGGUGAAAUGA
rnacentral:lncRNA from 1 species